rnacentral:miRNA from 1 species
UGUUACAAUGCAGAUCCCUGGGCGUUACUCUCAGAGAUCCCGGUAGAUCUGCACUGGGGUCCAGGAGUCUGCAUUUUAACAGAUUUCCAGGUGAUUCUUAGGCAUAUGGAA